rnacentral:rRNA from 1 species
GUGGGGAAUCUUCCGCAAUGGACGAAAGUCUGACGGAGCAACGCCGCGUGAGUGAAGAAGGUUUUCGGAUCGUAAAGCUCUUUCGUCAGGGACGAACGUAUUUCUUGUAAAUAAUGAGAGAUAGUGACGGUACCUGAAUAAGAAGCCACGGCUAACUACGUGCCAGCAGCCGCGGUAAUACGUAGGUGGCAAGCGUUGUCCGGAAUUAUUGGGCGUAAAGUGCGCGCAGGCGGGAUAUCAAGUCUGUCUUAAAAGUGCGAGGCUCAACCUCGUGAGGGGACAGAAACUGGUAUUCUUGAGUGUCGGAGAGGAAAGUGGAAUUCCAAGUGUAGCGGUGAAAUGCGUAGAGAUUUGGAAGAACACCAGUGGCGAAGGCGACUUUCUGGACGAUGUCUGACGCUGAGGCGCGAAAGCUAGGGGAGCGAACGGGAUUAGAAACCCGAGUAGUCC